UACAGAGGUCUCAAGCGUUGUUCGGAUUCAUUGGGCGUAAAGGGUGCGUAGGCGGCGCGGUAAGUCGGGUGUGAAAUCUUGGAGCUUAACUCCGAAACUGCAUUCGAUACUGCCGUGCUUGAGGACUGGAGAGGAGACUGGAAUUUACGGUGUAGCAGUGAAAUGCGUAGAGAUCGUAAGGAAGACCAGUGGCGGAAGGCGGGUCGCUGGAAAGUUCCUGACACUGAGGCAGCGAAGGCCAGGGGAGCAAACGGG
rnacentral:rRNA from 1 species